AUCUCGCCGUUUUGGGAUGUGUAGCGGUAGGUUUCCUCCUGGGAUAGUUGAACGGCGCGUCCGUUCACCUUGAUGGCAGCCUGGUCGUUGUUGGGGUACAUCUCGAUCUCGGCCUCGCCGAGGACCAGUCUGCACUCCCUCUGGUGUUCGUUGAUGUCCCGGCAUACGACGCUAACGCGCAUAUCCUCGGGGAUCUCGUCGUCGCCGUUCUGUUCGUCGUCGGCGUCCUGGUCGGGGAUGGUGGUCAUCACCACGUGCCAGCAGUUGCCGAGCUCGAUGGGGUAGGUCUUGUUGUCGAAGGCGUAGAAACGGUUACCCUGGAGAGCGGGGAAGAGGAAGCUUCCUUCCAGUUGUUCGGCGUCGUUGCUUUGGAUGUUAAGGGCGCUCAGAAUGUUCUCGGGACUGAAUUUGCUGGAUUUGGAGUUCUUCUUCUGGUUAGCCUGGUCGUUGUCUUCGAAUUGAUCGUAGAGAACGUCGAGCAGAUCGUCAACGCUGGACACCAUGGCGCCGUAGAUGGAAGCCGGGGAUUGGAAUCCACCCUUGUUGAACGCCGCGGUGGCGAAUACGGCCUGAGGUGCGAUGGCGUCUUCGCUUCCGAUCCAGUAAGAAUUCAGUUGGUAGCCGCUGCUCAUUGCCUCGGAUGUGUAAUCGUGGAGCCAUCCGCGGGAGUAUUGGAGACCCAUGUUCUUGGUGCUGAGCAAAUCGCGGGCGGCGCGAGCGUUGUGUGCGAGUUCGGGUUUGGUUUGCAGAACGUAUUCGGGCAGAGGGCUGAUGUCGUAAAGGACUUCGCACUCGCCGGUCACGGUGUCCUCCAUGGCCUUGUAGGUGGCGUAAGCCUGAUCACCUUCGGGUUCCUGGUUGUAGCGAGACUUCAUGGCGUUUUCACCCUGAGUGUCGACCUGGAGUUGAGAAGCGAUGGACUUGAUGAUGUUCACCUGCCAGGUGGGCAGAGACUUCUCAACGACGAGGUCGUCGAUCACGCCAUUCUUGAACUUGAUCUCGAAUGGUUUUUCACUGAGCUCGAACUUCUGGUAGUUGGUCUUCUUCUCGGGGAGAGGAGAGUCCCAACCGCCUGGCAGCUGAGCGUGAAUCUCGGCGACCUGGGGCCUCUGGAUGUUACAGCUCAAAGCGUCGGAUCCUUUCGGCUGACAUUUGAGCUGGGCUUUGAGGGCGAUACCGGUGUACUGGUCGGCGACCUGAUGAAGCGCGGCUAAAGUGCGACCUCGCACUUGGUAGGUGUAUUCUUGCCCGGCUUUCCAAGCAUGUUGGUCAGCGGAGGCGAUUCCAACUGCGAAUCGAUUUUGUUUUUUAAAUUUUUUGGCAAGAAACAAAAUUUCAGCAUGAUGUGAAUGAUCGUCAGCGAGCAAGCAUGCUAGUUCAAAAUCGAAUUGUUUUCAAGCAAGAAUGCUAGUUUAGAAUCGAAUUGUUUUCAAGCAAGAAUGCUAGUUUAGCAUCGAAUUGUUUUCAAGCAAGAAUGCUAGUUUAGAGUCGAUGAAGCGCGUUUGUAUCAAGAUCGAAAUUGAUCGAUCAGGAUUAUGUGAUCUCACAAAGAAAAUUGUUACUCACCUAGGAGACACAGAAGUAGAGGAGACCACAUUCUGCUGGUUGACUUCGGAGACGGAGUGACGAUAGCCAAUGAUCCAGAUGCUUUUAUACCAUUUCGGAUCUUCAUUUUUAGCUUAUUCGGAAUUAUUGAUCCGUUUGACAUUUGCCCUCCGACAUAC
rnacentral:misc_RNA from 1 species